rnacentral:rRNA from 1 species
AAUCUGUAGAGGAUGUUUCUGGCAAGGCGCCGUCCGAGUUCCCUGGAACGGGACGCCGGAGAGGGUGAGAGCCCCGUACAGGCGGACGCCGAGCCUCUGUGAAACUCCUUCGACGAGUCGAGUAGUUUGGGAAUGCUGCUCAAAGCGGGAGGUAAAUUUCUUCUAAAGCUAAAUAUAGGCCAGAGACCGAUAGCGCACAAGUAGAGUGAUCGAAAGAUGAAAAGCACUUUGAAAAGAGGGUUAAAAAGCACGUGAAAUUGUUGAAAGGGAAGCGCCUGUGACCAGACUCGCGCCCGGCGUAUCAUCCGGCGUUCUCGCCGGUGCACUACGUCGGGCUCGGGCCAGCAUCGGUUCUGGCGGGGGGAUAAAGGCGGCGGGGAUGUGGCUCCCCCGGGAGUGUUAUAGCCCGCCGCUCAAUGCCCCCGCCGGGACCGAGGACCGCGCAUUGCAAGGAUGCUGGCGUAAUGGUCACCAGCGACCCGUCUUG